CCUACGGGGUGCAGCAGUGAGGAAUAUUGGUCAAUGGGCUUAAGCCUGAACCAGCCAAGUCGCGUGAGGGAAGACUGCCCUAUGGGUUGUAAACCUCUUUUGUCAGGGAGCAACGCCGGCUACGUGUAGCCGGACUGAGAGUACCUGAAGAAAAAGCAUCGGCUAACUCCGUGCCAGCAGCCGCGGUAAUACGGAGGAUGCGAGCGUUAUCCGGAUUUAUUGGGUUUAAAGGGUGCGUAGGCGGAAUGCCAAGUCAGCGGUAAAAGCGCGGGGCUCAACCUCGCUCCGCCGUUGAAACUGGCGUUCUUGAGUGGGCGAGAAGUAUGCGGAAUGCGUGGUGUAGCGGUGAAAUGCAUAGAUAUCACGCAGAACUACGAUUGCGAAGGCAGCAUACCGGCGCCCAACUGACGCUGAAGCACGAAAGCGUGGGUAUCGAACAGGAUUAGAUACCCGGGUAGUC
rnacentral:rRNA from 1 species